GACGAACGCUGGCGGCGUGCUUAACACAUGCAAGUCGAACGGAAAGGCCCUGCUUUUGUGGGGUGCUCGAGUGGCGAACGGGUGAGUAACACGUGAGUAACCUGCCCUUGACUUUGGGAUAACUUCAGGAAACUGGGGCUAAUACCGGAUAGGAGCUCCUGCUGCAUGGUGGGGGUUGGAAAGUUUCGGCGGUUGGGGAUGGACUCGCGGCUUAUCAGCUUGUUGGUGGGGUAGUGGCUUACCAAGGCUUUGACGGGUAGCCGGCCUGAGAGGGUGACCGGCCACAUUGGGACUGAGAUACGGCCCAGACUCCUACGGGCGGCAGCAGGGGGGAAUAUUGCACAAUGGGCGGAAGCCUGAUGCAGCAACGCCGCGUGCGGGAUGACGGCCUUCGGGUUGUAAACCGCUUUCGACUGUGACGAAGCGUGAGUGACGGUAAUGGGUAAAGAAGCACCGGCUAACUACGUG
rnacentral:rRNA from 1 species